rnacentral:lncRNA from 1 species
AAGUGCCUCAUAAAGUCUAUAAGUUAUAACAAAUUUAUUUAUAGCUAAAUAAAAAUGGCUUUGGUCAUUAAAAAACACAAUCUACAGUCAAUAGGAAUUUUAAAAAGGUUAAAACCAGAAUAAAUAACAAUAAAAAUGUCUUAUUUUGAAAAGUUCUCAAAGGGAAUCCAGCAAUAAGCUACUGUGGGUUUUUGUUUUUUCACUGUUUUCUUUUGUUGAAUAAUUAACUUUUUAACUCUACAUAUAAUUACUUCACAGAAGAAAGUGACUUUUUACUUAAAUCAUGUCUAAAAACCUUAAACAUGAAAUAUGUCAGGUAUCAUUUUAUUUCUUUACAUUCAAACUUUUCUCAAAUAUUAAACGGUUUUGCUCUGAGAUGCUGAAUACGAGAGACUGACGACAGGAACCAACAAGUUGGAGACUUUCUUUCUGAUGUUAAGUGACCUCAACAGCAGAAUCCAGCAGAUCUUUAACGUCAGGAUUUGAUUUUCUUCAUCGGUUUGGUCCCUCGUUCUGCUCCUGGAGGCCAAACGAUUUCCAGAUUUCUCCACGUCUGAUCUGCUUCACUCCCAGCUGAGGCCUUCAGAGACUCUGCCGGCGGGACGCUCGGAUCCCUCGCUGACAGCUUCGUCUGCUGAGGUCGUUCAGGAGGACCGGCCCCAGGGCCCACGGCAGUCCGGCCCCGGGGCCCACGGCGGUCCGGUGGGGAACCACAGCUGUAGGCGUGGCUAUCUGGACUUCAAAGGGAUUGGUCCCGCGUGAGCGGCUGGUCAUGUGAUCGACGCAC